GAGGCAGGCGGUCACCAUCCGUCAGCGCGUUGCGCCCACGGGUGCAUUUUGG
rnacentral:sRNA from 1 species